GCCCAGGUGAUGGAACCGGUAUACAUGACGGCUUGAGGAGCCGUGCUCGCAAGAGCGUGCGGGUUCAAAUCCCGCCCUGGGCACCA
rnacentral:tRNA from 2 species